AAUAGAUACCCAGGUAGUCCACGCCAUAAACGAUGAGUGCUAAGUGUUAGGGGGUUUCCGCCCCUUAGUGCUGCAGCUAACGCAUUAAGCACUCCGCCUGGGGAGUACGGUCGCAAGACUGAAACUCAAAGGAAUUGACGGGGGCCCGCACAAGCGGUGGAGCAUGUGGUUUAAUUCGAAGCAACGCGAAGAACCUUACCAGGUCUUGACAUCCCACUGACCGCUAUGGAGACAUAGUUUUCCCUUCGGGGACAGUGGUGACAGGUGGUGCAUGGUUGUCGUCAGCUCGUGUCGUGAGAUGUUGGGUUAAGUCCCGCAACGAGCGCAACCCUUGAUCUUAGUUGCCAUCAUUUAGUUGGGCACUCUAAGGUGACUGCCGGUGACAAACCGGAGGAAGGUGGGGAUGACGUCAAAUCAUCAUGCCCCUUAUGACCUGGGCUACACACGUGCUACAAUGGACGGUACAAACGGUUGCCAACCCGCGAGGGGGAGCUAAUCCGAUAAAACCGUUCUCAGUUCGGAUUGUAGGCUGCAACUCGCCUA
rnacentral:rRNA from 1 species